AACAUCGCGCACCUGCGGGAACCUGCGGAGGGAUCAUCAUUGAAAACAAAUUUGGACAAGGGGAUUGUGAUUGACGGGGGGGAGGGGAAAGUUUUAUUUCCUGAGCCUUGAGAGAACAACCUCUUGGACAAAAACAACCAAUCUUCAUGACUAGGAAAAAACACAGUAAAGUAAACCAGUGGUUUGGGGGGGGGCAUAAACAACAAACAAGUUCUUGUCUGACAAGUAGUGUUUGGUGAU
rnacentral:misc_RNA from 1 species